GAAAAAAAAGCAAUCUGCUCACACAUUACAACACUCAAAGAAUGUGAUGUCCCAGAAACAAGGGUCUCCAGUCCAUUAGUUAUUAACUGCUGGAAUGCAGGAACAACUCUGACAGAAAGGUAGGCAAGAUUGCCAACUUCACCAUAGAGAGAAGCAGAGGUUAAUUUGUUUAAAUAUAAUCCUGCCUCUGAACACUGACACAGUUUCAACUGCUGCCAUUUCAAGGCCUCCAUGCAAGGUCUGUAAAGGAAAUCAUGCUGCUUUCCACUGCAAUUGCUAGUCAGAAUGAACUAGAGCUGGCUUCUUACCAGCAUUAACAGUACCAAGUCUGCUGCUUAAGAUUAAAUUAGAAAUUCGGCUUCUUUGUAUCUCCUGCCUGGCAACAGUGUCCAAACAUUAAUCACACACACACAAAAAAACGUGUGAGAAACGAACGAGUGUAUGAGCACCACCCAGAAAGUACCAGACAGAUUCAGGGGCAUAGGAAAUGGCAAGCUGCCUAAUUAAUGCUAUCUAGAGCUAAACUUUUUCUUUCUUUAAUAGGUUAACUCGAUCUUGGCUCAGACAGAAAGACCAAGAUACUUGCUGGUUUUAUGCCAGGAAUGCUGACCCUUGUUUAUGGUCUUGAUUACUUGUCCAGCUUCAAAUGCCACAAGAAAACUGCAGUUUAUUCUGACAUAAAACCAGAAAAACGCUGACUUGGUCAAAAUAACAGUCGGGUGAAAAAUGACUGAGCACCUCGCACAUAAAAAGGGCUGGAAUUUUAAAAGGGGAUAUGGCGUGACAAAGUGAGAGGGAACAGCCUAUGUGUGACGGUCUGAAGCGUUAAUGGAGGCACGGAGGAGGGCUCUUAAGUUCCUAUUGUCCUACACAAGCGCCGAUGCUCCACUUCCUGCAGCGCAAAUACCGAAAAUUAGAAAAUUCAUAAACAAAACAAAACAAACAAACAAAGAAAAAAAUCUCCCAGCCGUGAAGACGUGGAAAUAAAUGCACCUUCAGCACGCAAUGUUACUCAGCAUAGGUCAGGAAAUAUGCCGAAAGAGCGAGGACAACGUGUCGGCGUGGGGGUGGUAUUUUAUACUGUUGGGUGGCGUUUCGGGUUUUUUCAGUAAAUACGAUUUAUUAAUUUUUGUUUGAUUUUGUUCCGGGGUGGGUGUGUGUGUGUGUGUGUGGGAGAGGGGGAAGCGCUGAUCUCGGCGGUGGCUGCGCUGCUCUCCGCCCGGCUCCCCCCCUUCCUGCCAGCUCAGCAGUCCCGCCACGCCGCGGUAAACAAGUGCUGAGCUGUCAAUCAGCGCGGGCUGGAGCAGGAGCCGACCGGCCUGAACCGGCGCGCACGGAGCGCCGCCAGCCCCGCCGCUCUCUCGCACGCCGCGUGCGCUGCGCCCGCCGGCUGCGCACCGAGGGCGGACCCUCCCGUCGCCCGCGCCGCGCCGCCGCAGGGGAUGGGACCGGCGACGUGAGAGGGACGUGACCGAGAGCAGCACGUCCUCUCGCCCGCGCCCUCCCUUUCCGAGGGGCUUCGUGCCGCGCCAGCGCCUCAGGGAGCGGCCCCGGCCCGCCGGGGGCAGGCAGCGAAACCUGCGCCCUCACCCCCGCCGCCAGCGCCCCGCCAAUCAGUGGCGGGCAUCGCCUUAGCAACAGGGCAACAAAACCGCGGCCGGCCAAUCAGAGGGCGGCGGGGGGCGCGGCCGGGCCGCGGGUCUGCGCCCGGGGCGGUCAUUGAAAUGCGGCCGCGGGCGCCCGCAGUAGCGUCCCGGGACCCCUGUCCCAGCCGCUCCCACGAGUGCUCCCCCGCCACGGGCGGCUCCUGCGCAGGCUGCACACUCCCGUCGCCACGCUCAUGGAACCCGCGGCCCGGAGGUGCGGGAAGUUAGACGAGUGUUAUCCGAGGCGGAGUGGACACAGUCAUCGCCACCACCUGACGCGUGCGGCCAAUCUGCGCGAAGCGGGCGGCGCACCCCCCUCCUCCAAGCCGGUCCCAAACAGGAUUGAACCGCUUCGAACAAAGGCUGCGAAGUUCGGGGGAAAAAAGAAAUAAAAAAACCACACAGAAGCCCCAAGGCCCGGCGCUUCCACCCGCCCCCGAGGAAGGGGUCUGCACUUCGCGGGGACACCACGGUGGCAAGAGUGGGAAGUGGGGAGCAGGAGGUUCGCAUCUCCCCAGUUUUGGGAGAGAUGCUCCUAUUACGCAACACCACUUCCCCCCUCUCUCUCCUCCCCCUCCUUUUACCCCCAUCAAGGGCUUUUCGGACACAUCUUUACAUCGGGGUGACCCCAUUGCCGAGCGGAGUGUAGGGGAGGCCCAAGGAACUUACAGCUUUUUAACUGGGCGAGGGUAAUACUGAAAUGAGAAAAAAAAUUUACACGUGGGGUGGUGAUAUGUCAAAAUAAGCAAAUGAGACUCUUUCAUCUGCCAAUAAUCAGACAUCCAGAAAAAUUAAUUGUAUUAUCACCCCAAUGGCAUCAGCAGAACCCCGCAUGUGUCCAAAGUAUGGUUUUUAUGCUUUCACUGUGUUUCAAGAUUUGUUAUUAGGAUUUUUGCCAAUGAAGUCCACUACCCAUUUGUCUGUGAUUUUACAGCUGUUUUUCUCCACGGAACGGCAAAUCCUACCAACAUUACUACCAGGAAAAAAAAAAAAAAAAAAAGAAAAAAAAAAAGAGGUAAA